GCCAGCAGCGAGUCUAGCAGCCAGAUUCCCGAUCUGGGCACCUCUGGAAACCAGCAUAACCCUGCACCCCACAUUUUGGCUCAUGCUUCUGUUGCUAAGGUGCAGAACCAGCCUGCUGUGUGUCCUACUCUCUGGACUGGACAUUCAGUAUACACAGCUCCUGGGGCCCCACAGUAUUUGGGGCCUGUCUCUUCGUCUGGGAAUGCCACCUUGUCACAGUGCCAUGCAGGCAUGCAGGUCUGUGGGAUUUCAGGCUUCUCUCCUUAUCCUCCUGUUGCAUCAGAACAUUUGGCUUCCGGGAUGUAUUUAGGACCAAAUCUUGCCUCUGGAUUGAUGGCGCCCUCUUCUGUUUAUAACAAAUGUUCUACUGCUGUACACCAGAACUUGCUUAGUACAGCAAAGCCAUUUCCUGUGCAGUCUGUUGGUACAAACUGUGAAACUGAACCAUGGGACUCAGGGAUGUCUGGAUUUGGGAACGCCAGAGUACCUGAGGAACUGAGGUUUCCUCAUGCUUGCUGUGUGGGUAUUGCCUCACAGACCCUCCUUAGUGUCCUCAACCCAACCGACUGUUGGCUACAGGUCAGCAUCAAAGUUCUCAGUAUCUGUGUGAACGGUGAGAAGGUGGAUCUUUCAACACAAACCUGUUUGGUUUUCAAGAAUAAAGUUGUAAUAAGACCUCAUGCCACAGAAGAGAUAAAAAUUCUUUUUAUCCCCACAAAUUCUGGAAUUUUCA
rnacentral:lncRNA from 1 species